rnacentral:ncRNA from 23 species
UAGUGAGGUAGAGGUUGCGCGGAUGAUGAGUCGCAUGUGUGAGGCUGAUGGGGCCGAUGAUCAUAUGCAAAAGGCAUCAGCGCCGAAGCAUAAGGAAGCCAUUCAUUCUUUAUGCUGGGUCUGCAUUGAAUAAGUGCAGGACUGCCGCGGGUAUUCCCGCGGAGGGCUAUCCGGAGA